UUCCUGCAGGCUCAGUGGUAGAGAAUCUGCCUGCAAUGCAGGAUACCUGGGUUUGAUCCCUGGGUUGGGAA
rnacentral:tRNA from 1 species